UUGAACGCUGGCGGCAGGCCUCACACAUGCAAGUCGAGCGGAUGAAGGGAGCUUGCUCCUGGAUUCAGCGGCGGACGGGUGAGUAAUGCCUAGGAAUCUGCCUGGUAGUGGGGGAUAACGUCCGGAAACGGGCGCUAAUACCGCAUACGUCCUGAGGGAGAAAGUGGGGGAUCUUCGGACCUCACGCUAUCAGAUGAGCCUAGGUCGGAUUAGCUAGUUGGUGGGGUAAAGGCCUACCAAGGCGACGAUCCGUAACUGGUCUGAGAGGAUGAUCAGUCACACUGGAACUGAGACACGGUCCAGACUCCUACGGGAGGCAGCAGUGGGGAAUAUUGGACAAUGGGCGAAAGCCUGAUCCAGCCAUGCCGCGUGCGUGAAGAAGGUCUUCGGAUUGUAAAGCACUUUAAGUUGGGAGGAAGGGCAGUAAGUUAAUACCUUGCUGUUUUGACGUUACCAACAGAAUAAGCACCGGCUAACUUCGUG
rnacentral:rRNA from 1 species